CAAGUGGCUCAUUGAUCAUAUACCACCACCCUGACCAGAACACACGCACUGGUAAUAAAAGAAUUUGUCCAGUUCUGAUGCCUUGGGAGAUAAUGUCCAACCUUGAGGAAGACGUUUACACCGUAGAGGAUCUAACCUUGCCUUGUUAGUGGCUUGUAUCAUUCUGAGAUGACAUGCAAGCAUCUUCAGUUUAUACUGUCGGAAAUACAGACCACCUUCUUGGAGAACAAUGAUGCUUGUCCGUCUCCACCUAAUAACUUCGGAAUGAAUAAAGGGAUUUUCAUUAUUCCCGAAAUGAAGCUCAUUUAACUGCAAGACAUAACCCUGCCGCCAGCAAUACAAGAAUGUUUAGUAUUGAACACGAACUUCUGAGAGUACAUAAUGGAGAUGCAGUUGUGAAUGUAACCCCUUUUCUCAUAAAAUUUCAAAAUUCUCACACUAACUUGGCUUCUGAGUAUAGAUUUUGUAAAGCUUUGUGACAAUGGUUGAUUUAUUAUAGGAAUAUUAUUUUGUACAGUGUCCAUUUUCUGAGGGAUAUUUGAUAUACACGACGUUUCGGUAGCUGGUUAGCCUGCAAGCGUGGCAUUCGAAAUGUACCGGAUCUGAUCCGAACAGUUCUCAUUUAUAAUAACACAUGAAAAGUGUGUCAUUUCAGCCAAUCACCUGAAUAUGCGAGUAGAGUCAAAGACUCAGACAGUGGACAAUGCUCAACAUAAUUUUCCAAUCUUUGCUUAGUGUAAAGUCGGUCCAGACAAAGGAUUUUGUUCAUAUGGCGGUGAACAUUAUGGUUUCGUAAUAUCAGAAACUGAACCAUAAAUGAUUUUUGUCGGAGACUUGCCGAUAAACCAGUACAACUGAGAAUAAGCCUUGAUCCUGAGUCAUCUCUAUUUGGAUAUAAGAGUGUUAUAAUUAAUUCUUGCAUUGUGUAAUGACGUUUUGUCGACUGUAUAGACUUUGUAGCGCCGACUGUUAAAACGAUCGUCAGUUAUAAAUUGUAGUAAGUAUGGAAGGAAGCAGAAGUGGUCGUGUUAUUUCAAAGUACUUGGUUCGAAUUCAGCCGGAAUUGUUUAUAUUGACAAGUUUAUAGUUUCUGGUUUUUUCUUAGAGCCUCGAAAGGGUAGACCUUCUUCUUCUUUGGUCUCUCUAGAAACAACGUAUUUGGUUUAAGGCGUCGGGAAAUGCACAGUGUGCAUUGCUGUUAAAAGACACUACGCGGUAUUCAUCAAUCCACUUCAAUACAUAUUAGUUAUAACACUGAUCAUGCAUGCAGUGCUAUUAACAAGGACCACAAUGUUUUAUUACGCUGUUAAUUAUCGAGGGGAGUGUCAUUCUGACUGAAUCCGAGAGAGCCUUCGGAAACAAGACUUGUUUGCACUGUGUGUUUCUUCACUUUAGAUCUUGCCGCUAAAUUUGAAUGUUCCUUCUGAUUUUUUUGAAUGAGUGUGAUACGACCCAGUACAUGUCUGCUGCUAUGCAAGCCAUAUAGACGAACGUCAGUUUUGCAGAUUUAUGCCAAAAGUGCAGAUUGAUUCCAAUCCCAAAAUUAUUUUUUACGUCAUCAAAAAAUAUUCUCAAAAUAAAUUGUACAACGCAUUCUUAAUUACACAAAAUAUGUAGUGAAUAAAUGAGCUAACGAUA